AACGAACGCUGGCGGCAUGCCUAACACAUGCAAGUCGAACGAGACCUUCGGGUCUAGUGGCGCACGGGUGCGUAACGCGUGGGAACCUGCCCUUAGGUUCGGAAUAACUCCCCGAAAGGGGUGCUAAUACCGGAUAAUGUCUUCGGACCAAAGAUUUAUCGCCUUUGGAUGGGCCCGCGUUGGAUUAGCUAGUUGGUAGGGUAAAAGCCUACCAAGGCGACGAUCCAUAGCUGGUUUGAGAGGAUGAUCAGCCACACUGGGACUGAGACACGGCCCAGACUCCUACGGGAGGCAGCAGUGGGGAAUAUUGGACAAUGGGCGAAAGCCUGAUCCAGCAAUGCCGCGUGAGUGAUGAAGGCCUUAGGGUUGUAAAGCUCUUUUACCCGGGAUGAUAAUGACAGUACCGGGAGAAUAAGCACCGGCUAACUCCGUG
rnacentral:rRNA from 1 species